rnacentral:rRNA from 1 species
UACGUAGGGGGCAAGCGUUAUCCGGAUUUAUUGGGUUUAAAGGGUGCGUAGGCGGACGCUUAAGUCAGUGGUAAAAUUGCGGGGCUCAACCUCGUCGAGCCGUUGAAACUGGGUGCCUUGAGUGGGCGAGAAGUACGCGGAAUGCGUGGUGUAGCGGUGAAAUGCAUAGAUAUCACGCAGAACUCCGAUUGCGAAGGCAGCGUACCGGCGCCCAACUGACGCUGAAGCACGAAGGCGUGGGUAUCGAACAGG